rnacentral:rRNA from 1 species
GACGAACGCUGGCGGCGUGCUUAACACAUGCAAGUCGAACGGAAAGGCCCUGCUUUUGUGGGGUGCUCGAGUGCCGAACGGGUGAGUAACACGUGAGUAAUCUGCCCUUGACUUUGGGAUAACUUCACGAAACUGGGGCUAAUACCGGAUAGGAGCUCCUGCUGCAUGGUGGGGGUUGGAAAGUGUCGGCGGUUGGGGAUGGACUCGCGGCUUAUCAGCUUGUUGGUGGGGUAGUGGCUUACCAGGGCUUUGACGGGUAGCCGGCCUGAGAGGGUGACCGGCGACAUGGGGACUGAGAUACGGCCCAGACUGCUACGGGAGGCAGCAGUGGGGAAUAUUGCACAAUGGGCGGAAGCGUGAUGUAGAAGCGCCGCGUGCGGGAUGACGGGCUUUGGGUGGUAAACCGCUUUGGACUGUGACGAAGCGUGAGUGACGGUAAUGGGUAAAAAAGCACCGGCUAACUACGUG